rnacentral:rRNA from 1 species
UUUAUGGAGAGUUUGAUCCUGGCUCAGGAUGAACGCUGGCGGCGUGCCUAAUACAUGCAAGUCGAGCGAACGGAUGAGAAGCUUACUUCUCUGAUGUUAGCGGCGGACGGGUGAGUAACACGUGGAUAACCUACCUAUAAGACUGGGA